AUCAUGAGCCAUAUCACCCUGCAGCCCAAGACUGAUUGCCACACUGAAGCUAAGCAGGGUUGAGCCUGGUCAGUACCUGGAUGGGAGACCUCCUGGGAAAACUAGGUUGCUGCUGAAA
rnacentral:rRNA from 1 species